AAAGUUAUAGGUUAAGAAAAGACCAGUAUCCUUCAAAGAUAACAGUGGGGGAAUCCUAACUUUG
rnacentral:tRNA from 1 species